rnacentral:lncRNA from 1 species
UUCCGUUAGGGUUGUGAAAAAACUGUUAAGGGGUUAACCCCAAAUGUCUCACGUGAGCUCACAUUAUAGGUGGUCCACCAAAGACCUUAGUAAUACUUUUAAUCUCAACCGUUUGAUAUUUUUUAUUGAAAAACAACCAUUAGAUCAUACAUGUCUACGGGAUCUAACUAUAUACCACCAACACUUAAUUUGUUUUUUAGCUUUCUUCAUCUCCUUCCCUCAUUCUCUUCUUCAUAUUCAUCAUCACAUGCAUACAUUCAUAACAAAACUAUAAAAAAAAACCAGAAAAAUCUAAAAAAUAAAUUAAAAACAACCAAAAAAAUCAUAAUCAUAAUAACAAUUAUUUUCACUUAAAAAACAUCACUUUCAUUUAUCUAACAACACAAAUUUUCAAAUCCCAACAACCAAAAUCUCCAAACCCACAAAAUCAUAAUCAUCAUCAUUUUUACAUAUUCAUACUGUCCUACCACAUAAAUCCCAUUUUCUAGCUUGUUAAUCCUCUCUCCUCCAUCAAUUUUCUUCUUUCUCAGCAAGAUCAAAAGAUUGUUGUUGUUGUUUCUUCUCUCCUCCAUUUUUGAGCUUGCCAAUUCUCUCUCCUCCGUCAGUUUUCUUCUUUCUCAGCAAUAUCAAAAGAUUAAGGGAUAUACUUUCUGCAUUUGUUUCUCUAUUAUAUGUAUGGAUCUGUUUAAUAGAUAUGGGUUGCUCGAAAUUGCAGAUCCGAAUGAAGGAGGGAGUAUGUGAAUUGUUGUUUAUGAAAUUUUGGUGGAUAUGUUUAUUGUUGCAUAUUCGAAAUUUCAGAUCUGAAAUUUUGGUGAUUUUUGUUGUUUAUUGUUGUUUAUGAUGGUGGUGUUGAUGAUGUUGUUGUUGAAUUUCUAGAUUUUUUAUGGAUUUUUAAUGAAGCUUGAUGAUUUUCUAGUUUUUUUUUUUGUUUUUGAGUUGUUCAUGUUGCGUUCUUUAUUAUUUUCUUUGAAUGUUUAUGUUCUGUUCUUCAUAUUUUCCAGAAAGGAGAUGAAGGAUUAUAUGGAGAAGAUGAAGGAAAUAAAUAAGUUUUCAACUAAUGUCAAAACGACAUGUGUACCACACUUAACGUUUUUUUGAAUUUAUUUAACAGAAGAGACCAAAACAGAUAACAGAGAUAAAGAUAAAGUACUGAAAAAAUCUUUUUUUUUAGUUAAGGGACCAAAACGAUACCAAAUAAAUACUUAAGAGACCAAAAGAGCAUUUAAACCUAUAUUAAAGUAUAUUAAAUUAAAAUUAAAAUACACUAUAUGAUGAAGUAAUUUCUUACACUUGUGUUCUAUCAAAAUAAAAUAAAUGUACGACUAUGUAGUUUUCUAUUAUUAAUAAAAUUACAAUUUAAAAUCAUUUAUAUAUAUAUAUAUAUAUAUAUAUAUAUAUAUCAUCUUCUUAUAGGGAUAUUUUAGUCAUUUUAUUAAAUAUAAAUCUUUCUUUCCUUCCACUUUCACUCAUACCAAACAACUAAGGGUGUGUUUGUUUCAAGUUAUAAUUGUUGAUUCCCGGGAAUAAAAUGAUAGAAAUGUAUAUGCCUUUGUUACAAGUUUACUAAAAUUUAUUCCUUGGUAUAAAAUGUUCCUGGGAAUAGAAAAAAUUUUCCAAGGAAUAAAGUUCCCAUGGAGAUGGAAAUAAAUUCAUAAAUAGUUUACCUAUUAUAAUCCCUAUUUUUAUGGUUCCUAGGAAUAUUAUAAAGCUAACCAAACAUAUUUUUCCUAAAUUCCUUGGAAUAAAAUUCCCAUCUUUAUAUUCCAAGGAAUGUUAUUCCUAGGAAUAAAUUUGGUAAACUUGAAACAAACACACCCUAAAGAAUCAUCUCACUUUCCAUUCACUUUCUUUCCUUUAACAAUCUUUCCUCUUACUAUCUUUCCUUUCACUUUCUUUGAUCUUCCAAAUAUACCCUUAACCUUUAUUGUUGUUGGUUUGUAUUUCUCGAACUUGUAUAGUUGUUGACAUUCAUCUUUUACUACGGAUGAUCAAAUAUUUCAUAAAAGUGUUGACUUUUUAUCUUGAAUUUUAUUUAAAAUCUCUAUCAUCAUACGUUUGAACUCACGGUCGAUCUACUCAUAAAAUUCUUCAGCAAUAGUGGAUGGGAAACGAGGGAUCGGAGAAUGCUCCGCACCCUCGCGGUGCCUCGUUGAGAUCCGUAAUAUGGACCCCUACUGUGUGCGUCGCCACACAGCGAGACCUGGUGCAUCAAAUGCGUGAUCUGCACGCAUAAUUAUUAGAACGUGGUUAUGAAACAUUUUCUAUUUGCUAUAUGGAUCUCCGCCGACAAUAGCGUUGUUUGAUUCUAUGUAUCUCUCCACAAGUCAGAAUCAGCUAUCAUGAUGGAAGUGAAAAAUGCUUCCAAAGAUUCCACCAUUUUCAUGUGAGGAAAACGAUGCACAAUCCCAAUCUCUCACCAACAAAUUUAAUAUAGAAUUUAAUUAAAUUAGAUUAAAUGAAUUUCCUAAACUAUCGACACAGGGGCUUAAUAUAAAAUGGAUCAUAUUCAUACUAACAAAUACUCUAGGUACAACAUUAUUUGAGGAAUUUACUAAAAAAAUUGUUUUUUUAAAGUAAAAAAAAAUGUUUUGUAAAUCAAACACAUGUAAAAGUUAUAAUUACAUAUUUUUUUUAUAUAAAAAUUACUCUUUUUGAUUGAUUAAACAAUAUUUCAAAGAUGCUAACAAUUGCUAAUAUUUUACACAUAAAAUCCAUCAUAACAUUGUGGUGAAGAUAAAGAUAAUUAUCCCCAUGAGCUAGCUCAGUUUGUAGGAAUAUUACAUUUUAUAUGCAGGGGUCGAGUUCGAAUCCCGGAAACUCCAUUUCUCCAUAAUUAAAUUAUGUGAGCUCUAGUCAAUAGACUACUUGACAAAAAAAGAUAGAGAUAGUUUAUAAAUUAAUAAUAUAAAGAUAAAGAUAGUAAAUUUUUAAAAUAAUUUUAUGAUUCAUUAUUUUACUUUUUUAGAAUUAUUUAAUAUUUAUAUUGAUAAUGUAGUAAUUUUUUUUAAGGGAUUGAUAAAGU